rnacentral:rRNA from 1 species
UACGGGGGGGGCAAGCGUUGUUCGGAAUUACUGGGCGUAAAGGGCUCGUAGGCGGCCCACUAAGUCAGAUGUGAAAUCCCCAGGCUCAACCUGGGAACUGCAUCUGAUACUGGUGGGCUUGAAUUCGGGAGAGGGAUGCGGAAUUCCAGGUGUAGCGGUGAAAUGCGUAGAUAUCUGGAGGAACACCGGUGGCGAAGGCGGCAUCCUGGACCGAUAUUGACGCUGAGGAGCGAAAGCCAGGGGAGCAAACGGG